CCCUCUCUCUCUCGAUGACCUCCGCGUGCCCUCUUCCGAAGCCGAUCUCCCCCCUGUCAUACCUGUGGAGAUUGUUAUCUCUGAAGAGGAACUUGAAGAGCAAGCAGAACCCAUUUCCUCGCUUACUCGCAAAAGGAAGCAUUCUUAAAAUGAUCAAUCUGAACCGAUACCGGAAGCUACAUCUACCCAACCUUCACCACCUAAAACUGUAUAUACUCGGCCACCACCACCUCCUGAACAAUCCCCAACUUCUCCACCAAGGCCAUGUCAUGAAAAAAUAGAACAGAGAAACUUACCUUUAACCUGCCUUGUUCUUCAAUUUGAAUUUCCCCUAGCUAAUCUCUAAUGAAUGGUAGAUUUGUGCAAAUAAUCGACUGGGUAAAACCCAAUUAAUUUAAUUUAAACCCACAAAAUAGUAUGGAAGCUAUAUAGCAAAAGAAUGUCG
rnacentral:lncRNA from 1 species